UUUUUUAUUCUGAUGUUUAUUAUAAAAUUAAAUUUGUUCUUAAAAAUAUUGAAUAUUUGCAGUAGAAAUGUAAAUAAGGACUUUGAAGAUAAAGUGUUUUAAAGCUCACAUAUUUAAAACAUUAUCAAAAACUCAAGGAACUAUUAAAUAAAAAUAAAUCAACAACUACCAAAUUAAUAUAUACCUCCAAAUAAAAUCAAAACAACUACAGCAAAAAAUGAAAAAAGCACUAUUGAAAGAGAAUAAAAGAAGUAUUCACAUUUUACAACGAUAAUUGCAAGCUUUUGAACCUGUAUGUGUAAUUAUUGCUUGAUACAUGAAAAUUAACAUUCAAUUCAGCUACAAAAAAAAAUUAAUUGGAAGAGACAGUACAUGAAAGUCAACAAAUUUUAACAUGGAACAUGAAUGGAUGUAGGCUAAAUAAAGAAACCCUAGGAUAUCAAUGCACAAGCAUGCUUAAUAGCAAGAAAUAUUUGACUCACCGACAUAAAAUGGUGUUUCUGAAUCGAAAAAAUAAAUUUACAUGCAAAAAUGUCAAUAAUAAACUAAAACAAGUAGCACAAAACUGGAAAUCUAUCAUGCUCUAUUCAUAUUUCAACUACAAUAUAUAUUUACCUACAUAUUUAAAAAAACAACAUCAUGCUUUAAUCAGAAAAUCUCUACCCAAAAGUAUUGGCUGAUGACAAUCAUAUAAAAAGCUUUCUUCCACCAAAAAACAAAUGAAAAAAAAAAAAAAAACAACCCAGUACAUUAUACAG